AAUCAGAUAAAAAAAUAUAACAAAAGUCAAAAAUUAAAAGAGGAUUAGGGUUACGUGAAUGUGGCUAUUGGAGUCUUGGAGUCAGACUUUCCCUUCUCUUCUUCAACGUGGACGACGUUCUUCUUCUUCGACCCCAAUCGCCGCCGCGUCUGCUCCUUCGCACUCCUCUCUUCUCUACUUUAAUCAAACUCUUCAUGCUUGAUUCAACCGAAGAAUCUUCAGAGACGAUGAAUAAUGAUGAAAGUCAAGAGAAGUUGUUGACGAAGAUUGUAAUAAUGAAUGGCGCUCAAGGUUGUUGCGAAAGCGUUAUCGUGUGAUGAAGAUGUUGAACGUGAUGCGAUGAAGGAAAUUGUUAAAGUGUGAAGAUGAUGGAUCAGUGAUGAUGAACAGCGAUGGUGAUGCGAUUCAGUGAUGAUGAUUGUAGGUCGUUGCUGAAGAUUGUAUGAAGCUGUUGUAGUGCGACGUUUCGGUUGAAGCCUUUUCUGAGUUUUUUUGGUUGAUGGAUGUUGAGGCAGAUUGAAGAACUCUUUGUGAAGAUGUGAGACAAAGUUAUUUUACGAAGAUGAUGAUAGAAGAACCUAAAGAUGAAGUCUCGAGAAUUCAGUUAGAGAGAGGUGAAGAAGAUGAUGAAGAAGGUGAAUCCAGGAAGUGGAGAGGAUGAAAAGGAAGAUGAAGAAGUGUGGAUUUUCUGUUAUUGAUGGAAGAAAGUGGAGUGUAGAGAGAAGAAGGAGAGAAGGUUGAUGAUGGAGCAGGUUGAAGAUAUUAUGGAUAAUUGAUGAUGGAGAUUUUUUGUGAUGAAAAAUGUUUGAGAGUUCUCUGUGAAUUGAAGAUUGAAGCUUGCAGAUUCUUUUUGUUAGAUUCUAUGGGAAAGAAGAAAGUUGCGAUGAAUUGAGGAGUGAAUGAUAAAGAUUGAAGAAGAAAGGAGAUUGAGAGAGUGAGGAUUGUUCUGUUAGAGGUUGGUUGAUGUGCAGGCUUGCGGUUCGGUUUAAUAUCGAACCGGUUUUUUUCGUUUCCUCUAUGGAGCUUGGUUUUGACAAAAGCUUAUACUUCCUGUGAACAAAAAUCGGUGAGCCACGGCAUGAAGUUCUGAGAUUGGCAUGGAGAAGCUUGAAACAACUAGAAAUUAGGAUGGGCUUUUUACAGUGUAAUUCAAUUUUUUUUGUAAUAUCAAUUGGGCUUCUGGUUUAUAGUGGGCCCCUUUUUUGUAAUUCAGAAUUGUAUGGACUUUGUCUUGGUGACUUUUGGGCCUUAUUUUUUGUUGGAAUUUUGGACAAGAAUGCACUUGAAUAAAAAUUGAAAAAUGGAUAUUUGUUUUUUUUUGUAAUAAACUUAAAUAGAAAUGUUUGUAUUUGGACUUUGAAAUUGAAUGUGUUUCAUAUAUGGACUUGAAGGGCAUUCUCUUGCAACUUUUGCACACACCAUAUAUGUAUCCUAUUGCCUUGUAACUCGUAUUCCAAACAAUCCCAUGUGUAUACCCUCUUGGCACUCUUGGAUUUAUUCUUGAAAACUUUAGAUGAAUUUUUGUAUGAAACUCUUGAUGAAAUGGUGAAUAAAUCUUGAAAUCCAUGGACUAGCUAAAGAAGAAAGAAGCUUAUUUGACUUCCACGUGAAUUUUGACUUUGUCUUGAAUGAAAUUUCUCCCAAUAUAAUGGCCAUUUGAGUAGUAAUAAUCACUGUGAAGUAAAAUGGACUUCAAAAGACUUGGUCA